rnacentral:ncRNA from 1 species
ACUAGGGCUUUAGUCCAAAAUAACCCUCCCAAGAAAAGGUGUUGGUUGAUAUAGACAGCAGGACGGUGGCCAUGGAAGGUGGAAUCCGCUAAGGAGUGUGUAACAACUCACCUGCCGAAUCAACUAGCCCUGAAAAUGGAUGGCGCUGGAGCGUUGGGCCCAUACCCGGCCGUCGCUGGCAACGAGAGCCGCGGGGCUUACGCCGCGACG